rnacentral:ncRNA from 1 species
CGAGGAGCUACCCGGAAACGAAAGUCUUUCGGUUCCGGGGGUAGUAUGGUUGCAAAGCUGAAACUUAAAGAAAUUGACGGAAGGGCACCACAAGGCGUGGAGCUUGCGGCUUAAUUUGACUCAACACGGGAAAACUCACCCGGUCCGGACACUAUUAGGACUGACAGAUUGAAAGCUCUUUCUCGAUUUGGUGGUUGGUGGUGCAUGGCCGUUCUUAGUUGGUGGAGUGAUUUGUCUGGUUUAUUCCGAUAACGAGCGAGACUCUAGCCUGCUAAAUAGUCGACGAAUCUUCGGGUUCGUAUAACUUCUUAGAGGGAUAAGCGGUGUUUAGCCGCACGAGAUUGAGCGAUAACAGGUCUGUGAUGCCCUUAGAUGUCCGGGGCUGCACGCGUGCUACACUGGUGGAGUCAGCGGGUUUUUCCUAUGCCGAAAGGUAUCGGUAAACCGUUGAACUUCUUCCAUGUCCGGGAUAGGGUAUUGUAAUUAUUACCCUUAAACGAGGAAUGCCUAGUAAGUGUGAGUCAUCAGCUCACGUUGAUUACGUCCCUGCCCUUUGUACACACCGCCCGUCGCUAUCCGGGACUGAACUGAUUCGAGAAGAGUGGGGACUGUGGCUGCGAGGUUUUACCACUUCGCAGUUGCGGAAACCAUUUUUAUCGUCAUUGGUUUGAACCGGGUAAAAGUCGUAACAAGGUAGCUGUAGGUGAACCUGCAGCUGGAUCAUCG